GGCUGAACACCCACCCAUUGCUGUUGCUGUUGCUGUACGCAAGGAAGAAGAACGGGAAAGGAGGAGGAAGAAGAGAGGAAAGAGUGGGAAGAGAAGGGGAUUCCCCCAGGGAUCCUCACUGUGGUGCUAAAAUAAGUUUUUACAAUUGAUAUGGUGGUGAUGAAAUGUAUGUCAGCUAUUAAAGUAAGACUACUACUUGCAGAUGGUGUGUGGUCAUGAGUAGGGGAGGUGUUGCCGAAAUUUGAAUUUUUUCUGGCAGGCUUACAUUUUAUUAGGUUGGUUGUGUAGUCUUCCGAGCGAGAGGCAUGUAUGGGUGUUACAUUAAUUUUGACCGAUUACUAUUAGCCAUAUGUGAUGAGCUAUGAUCUAUAUAUGGAACUGAAGGUAAAACCCUUUCCUCGAAAAAGGAAUCACCAAAACUGAAGCACAUCCAAGUGGCGAUUGUGUCCUCCGACAAUACUCACAAGCAGAUCAAAACUUGAGAGCAAAAGACUGCAUCCUAAAGAUUAUCAAGGAUGCUGACAUGCUUUGCGGUCCGACCUACAUUUUACGAGCAUAAUGGAUGCAAUGAAAGAAUAUGAAAGCUAGGUAUCUCAAGGUUUUGACUUAUUGAAGUGACUUUAGUGGAGGGUCCGAAGCAAGCCUUGAAAUGCUUGACUGAGUGCUUGGAUGGAGGAGCAAAGGAGUGCAUCCUAAAGCCUAUCAAGGAUGCUGAAAUACUUUGCAGUCCGAUCUACAUGUGAUGAGCAUGAUGGAUGCAAUGAAAGAAUAUUCAAUGUAACUCUCAUUUUGGUGUCAUGUAUCGAGUAAUUUAUUAUUCAUUAUUUAGAUACAAUGAUGUAUAGUCUUCUUCUAUCUUACCAUGUGUUUGAUACAUUUGAUGUGCUACGUGUUGGAUUCGCUUG